rnacentral:misc_RNA from 1 species
AAUCACUAAGGCCAUGCCUUGCGAUGGCGAUGCCCCUGAGGGGGCCCGCCGAAACGCGCCGGCGCCGCCCCGCGGUGAGCAACGUAGCGAUAUACGCAGCGAACCGACGGUGGAGGCCGCCUGUCAAACCCAGA